rnacentral:rRNA from 1 species
AUUGAACGCUGGCGGCAGGCCUAACACAUGCAAGUCGAGCGGAGCGGUGGACGGGUGAGUAAUGCCUAGGAAUCUGCCUGGUAGUGGUGGAUAACGUCCGGAAACAGGCGCUAAUACCGCAUACUAUCAGAUGAGCCUAGGUCGGAUUGGCUAGUGGGUGGGGUAAAGGCCUACAAAGGCGACGAUCCGUACCUGGUCUGAGAGGAUGAUCAGUCACACGGGAACGAAUACACGGUCCAGACUCCUACGGGAGGCAGAAGUGGGGAAGAUUGGACAAUGGGCGAAAGCCGGAUCCAGCCAUGCCGCGUGUGUGAAGAAGGUCUUCGGAUUGUAAAGCACUUUAAGUUGGGAGGCGUUACCAACAGAAUAAGCACCGGCUAACUUCGUGCCAGCAGCCGCGGUAAUUC